CAUACUCAUAAGGAGCACGCAGAAACUGUACGGCCUUUAAAUGUGGCUGUGAGAGUCAUUUCAGAUCCGUGGAUUCAGCCUCUAACUCUUCCUUAGAUAUCACUUUCAUGGCCAUUUGAACCAAAAAAAGGGGAAAUCACAGACCAAAAUAUCAAGAGCUAAUCAAACAAAAUCCUCAAUCUCCUCCCUUCCUUCCUUCCUUCCUUCCCCAGAUCUCAGGUCUUGAUAACUCCAUAGAUCUCUUCUACUCAGAUCUGCACCUCCACUUCACUGACAAACUGUCUAACUCAAAGUUUAACGGUGAGGUGCUUUCGAUCUAUGCUUCUAACGAGGAGACAUGGUUAGAUUUUGAAUUUGUAGUGUUUUUGUGGUUUAAUCUUCAUAAACUGGCUUUGAAUCUGUAUAGGUUUUUUAUUGUCUGGUUUAUGCUUGAUUUGGAUUUAUCAUGGAGAAGAUCUAGAAGCUAGAGUGAGAUUUUGCUACAAAAUAUAAUCUGAAGGUGUAUUUUCAGUUGCUCUGUGAGAUUUUUACCUGAGGGUUUGCCUAACCUGAACGUGCUAUGGAGACGCUUGUUGUUUUGGCCCAGCACAGGAAUCAAUAUGACAGCAGAGUCAAGUCAUGUAAGCAAGCUCGAUUUGGGUCUUUACCUUCUCCGCACUUCAGAGAGAUCAAUUGCCGGACUUUUCAAUCUGGGUCAGGUAUACUGCCAACCCCCUUCAAGACUUGCACCACUCCUGUGACCAAAGGCACUCUUUCUACCCCUGCUUUCUCCUCUCAGAAAACACCUUCACCAACUAUUAAGGUCCACUCGAAUUCUCACCCUGUUGACAAUACAGAGAAUAAGACUGCUCCAAAAAGCUCUCCUAUUCCGAUAAUUAUCCCCACGAGGGAUACACCUUUUGAUGAUGAGCUGGGUAUCUCAAGUGAGAAUUCACUAUUUUCUGAGCUCUGGGCUGGACCUGCUUACUCAAAUUCACCGCCUCCCAGUUCCCUUCCAAUUCCCAAGUUUUCUAUGAGGCCAAAGCGAACCGUGUCACUAGAGUUGCCUGUCUCUGAUUCUGGUAUCAAAGUGCAUCCAAUUGCAAAGUCUGCCCCCGCUUCCCCCAUAAGGGAACAUAGCCCAUCUACAAAAGACCUGUUUCUAAAUAUUGACUCUGCGACUAAGACUCUGCGUCGCAUUCUUAACCUUGAUUUGGCGGAUGAUUGAAAUUUAGGGGGCUUCUACCCCUGUAAAUAUUUUUAGGAAGACUGUAUAUAGAGGGAAUAAAUUGUUAGUAGUGUGUAUCUGCUGAAGUUUGUCUAGGUUUUGGUUAUGGUGGUGGUGGUGGUGGUGGAAUUAGUGAUGGAGUGGUUUUUGUGGGUCUAUAAUCUCGGAAUUGAGACAUUCUGGAUUAGUGUUUCAGUGAUGGAUAUUUCUAAGCAAGUCAAGUGUACGUGCAGUUGAGAUGGGCAAGGUACUUGUAGCUUGGGAAACGUGACAUGGAUGGGAGCUGACUCUAAUGCAUUUAGGAAGCAGAAGUGAAUCAUGAAUUGGGCGACUUCUUUGGCAAUUGGAUGGAAACUUACUAUUCUGUCUAUCGCCUUUAGGAAGCAAAAGUGAAUCAUGAAUUCGAUGACUUCUCUGGCAAUUGGAUGGGAACUUACUACGCUGUCCUAUCGCCUCGAAACUAAAUCUUUUUUUUUUUUAUAUAUAUAUAUGGUUUCUAGUCCUCCAUAUAAUAUCCUCUUAUAAAUUUUAGUCAACAAGCAAAGUUUAGGCCUAGAGUAUCAUUUACAGUGUAAAUACAGUUAAAUCUUGAUUAGAUUAGCCUCACUCCAACCCUGUAGGUUAAUGUCUUUCUUUUGUAAUUUCAUCUUUAUUUCAUCUAAAUUCCUCUUGUCCUCCUUGUUUUCUGUUUUUCGGAUUAGGGUGCUAGGUUCCUAGUUUAGCUUUACUUCGAUUUUCACCUUUGUAUGGUCCUUUCUCUUGUAACUGCUUUACUUAGCUUGAAUUGGCUUCUCAACAAUCAAUAUCUCUUCAUAUAUAUUACCAUCUCUUUCUUUGUUUCUUGUUAGAUAUCCCUAACUCCCCCUGUAUACACUCUGCAUGGGUGUUGUUUCCUCCUUGCUGUCUUUUCUGUUUUUUAAGAGGGAAAGUGGCAAGUGGAAGUGAAAGUAGUUACUGGAUCUGCUUCUUGGGUUUGCAAGGUCAAUCCAAUCCGCGUUGCUCCUUUUAGUUGUAAGCCUUUUAGUUUAUUUUCUUUUGAGUGGAUAACAGAGUCCUCUUGGUCUUCAUAGAGCUUGUCUUUGUUGGAGAUUGUUGGCCACAAAAGCUACUUGUGAGGCCAUUAUUGGGGAAGAUUUCAAGACGCUGCCUUAUUGUAGGAGAUGUGCAAUAGUGUAGUAAUAGUUUCUUAUAUGCAAGUUUUAUGGGAAUCCAUGUGCGUUUUGUCUUGUUUCUUGUGUCCAUGAAAAAUCUUCUAAUAUCUCCCUCGCUGUUUUGUAUUGGGUACAAGUGUUUUUAAUUAGUCUGGUUGGCGUAUGGUGUUGGAAGAUGAUGUGUUUCCUUUGCAUUUUAUGACGAGAGUCAAGACUGCAAUGUUUAAUUAUCCUGACCCUAAGCCUUCAAUACAUGUUUAUUGAAUGUUC